rnacentral:lncRNA from 10 species
UAAUGAUAAGUUCAAAACUAUACCUUUCAUAUGUAAACAUGUACAAUAGUUAAAACUAUACAUUUUAUGUUGCAUAAAUAUAUAAUACAGCAUAAUAACGCAUAAGAAUGAUAAACACCUUCAAGACCAAAGUUAGGAAAUUACAAGACUACAAUUUAAAUGAUUAACAAGUGGAAUUUUAAAUCAGAGGUUACUCCUAAAUCCCAAUUUUUCUACAGUUGACAAAAUACGGAGCUCAGAAAAGUAAACUUAAUGAUUUCCAGAAUGAAUGCUUUAUUCAAAAUGCUACAUAAUUACAAUUCUAAUAAACUUGCAAGGGAAUCCAGUCACCCAGAAGUUUUCUUUCUCCCUUUCUCCUACAUCACAAAAGGGGAAGAUUUAAUUAACAACUUUGCAUUACUUAACUUCAGACUCAUAGUAUCAGAGCUAAAGAGAAAUUUAAGAAACACCUAACUCAACCUCUCCAUUUUAAAUGAACAAAUGAGUUGAGGUUACAGUGACAUUUCUGAGUUCAUAUGUAAAAACAGUAUUUUGAUGACAAUGACAGUUUAAGUACUAAUAAACACUCCAUGAAAAGUUACUGUAAUCCAGGUUAUUUUACUGUGCUAAAUGCCUUACAUUCUUUACCCAAUUUAGUUUUCACAGAAAUCCUAUGAACAAAACACUUUCAAAAUUUACCACUUCACAGCUAAGAAAAACAAGGCUUAGAGAAAUGCUACACGAUCCCCUAGUCAUGAGGUUAGUAGGUACUAUUGUGGAGACUGAGGCAAAACAGGACGAUUUCAAUGCCUACCCUCUAAACAAGUAAACACUAAGCAGGAAUUUAGUUCUAGAUCUCCCAAUUGUAGUCCAAUAAUCAGCCAAAAAAUGAUUCUGAGAAGAGGGGAAAAAAGAUGUCGUGUGUAUGGAGCCUCAAUACAUCUUCAAAUUGAAAAUCAUUAGAGCAUAAGGCAAUAGAAUUUUUGUUUCUAAAAUCAUCAACCUUUCCCAAGUUGAACAUACAAGUAUAUUUUAUCAUACAUAUACUAUAUGUAUGUAUAACGUGUGUUUAUAUAAGUAUUCCUGUGGUUUAUAUAUCUGGAUUUGGAAUCACAAGUGUUUUGUGAUAUAUUAAUUUUUUUUUUAAAGUCUCCCUCUGUUGCUCUGGCUGGAGUGCAGUGGUGUGACCAUAG